GAUGAACGCUAGCGGCAGGCCUAAUACAUGCAAGUCGAACGGGAUCCAGAUCAAAGCUUGCUUUGGUUUGGUGAGAGUGGCGCACGGGUGCGUAACGCGUGAGCAACCUACCCUUGUCAGGGGGAUAGCCCGGCGAAAGUCGGAUUAAUACCGCAUGACAUCAUUGAGAGGCAUCUUUCGAUGAUCAAAGAUUUAUCGGACAAGGAUGGGCUCGCGUGACAUUAGCUAGUUGGUAAGGUAACGGCUUACCAAGGCUACGAUGUCUAGGGGCUCUGAGAGGAGAAUCCCCCACACUGGUACUGAGACACGGACCAGACUCCUACGGGAGGCAGCAGUAAGGAAUAGUGGUCAAUGGACGGAAGUCUGAACCAGCCAUGCCGCGUGCAGGAAGACGGCCCUAUGGGUUGUAAACUGCUUUUAUACGGGAACAAACGUCGGUACGGGUACCGGUCUGAGUGUACCGUAAGAAUAAGGAUCGGCUAACUCCGUG
rnacentral:rRNA from 1 species